rnacentral:other from 1 species
AAAACCCUGCGAAGCCCGAUAACUACGGUAAAUAUUAACCCAACAAACUUUUCAAGGGAGUCAGAACUUCGGUGCGGAGGAGCAGACCUCCCGUGAUUUUACGGACGAAGGGAGCACGAAAGCUUCGAGAUGACACCCACCUGCUUACACGCAGGUUAUUAUUCACCGUUCCCGACUUUGCGGGGCUUUA